AAGUCGUAACAAGGUUUCCGUAGGUGAACCUGCGGAAGGAUCAUUGAUAAAGAAUGUGAUGAAGAUUAUCCGGUUCUUCUCAAAGUGGAAUAACAUCCCCUUUUAGGAGAACACAUCUUCAGCACUUCGAAGUAAUAUCCUUAUAGUUCGCUAUAAGGUUAUUUCACAACUUGUGCACAUUUUAUUGUAUGUGGUGGAGUACUUCCCUCUUUGGGAGUUCCACCAAUUUCUCACACGUCUACUUUAUAUUUCUGAUCUACCGUUUCUGACGCACUUUUAACGAAGGGCUGACGCGACACAAAACAUAACAAUUAACAACUUUUGGCAACGGAUCUCUUGGCUCUC
rnacentral:misc_RNA from 1 species